UACGGAGGAUCCGAGCGUUAUCCGGAUUUAUUGGGUUUAAAGGGUGCGUAGGUGGCCUGUUAAGUCAGGGGUGAAAGACGGUAGCUCAACUAUCGCAGUGCCCUUGAUACUGAUGGGCUUGAAUGAACUAGAGGUAGGCGGAAUGUGACAAGUAGCGGUGAAAUGCAUAGAUAUGUCACAGAACACCAAUUGCGAAGGCAGCCUACUAUGGUUUGAUUGACACUGAGGCACGAAAGCGUGGGGAUCAAACAGG
rnacentral:rRNA from 1 species